rnacentral:rRNA from 1 species
UUAGAGUUUGAUCCUGGCUCAGGAUGAACGCUAGCUACAGGCUUAACACAUGCAAGUCGAGGGGCAGCAUGAGAUUAGCUUGCUAAUCUUGAUGGCGACCGGCGCACGGGUGAGUAACGCGUAUCCAACCUUCCCUUUACUCUGGGAUAGCCCGGUGAAAACCGGAUUAACACCGGAUGGGUUCACAUGACGGCAUCAGACUGUGAAUAAAGGUUACGGUAAAGGAUGGGGAUGCGUCUGAUUAGCUUGUUGGCGGGGUAACGGCCCACCAAGGCAACGAUCAGUAGGGGUUCUGAGAGGAAGGUCCCCCACAUUGGAACUGAGACACUGUCCAAACUCCUACGGGAGGCAGCAGUGAGGAAUAUUGGUCAAUGGACGAGAGUCUGAACCAGCCAAGUAGCGUGCAGGAUGACGGCCCUAUGGGUUGUAAACUGCUUUUGUACAGGAAUAAAGUCAUCCACGUGUGGAUGUUUGCAUGUACCGUAAGAAUAAGGACCCGGCUUACUCCGUGCCACCAGCCCGCGGUAAUACGGAAGGUCUGGGCGUUAUCCGGAUUUAUUGGGUUUAAAGGGAGCGUAAGGCCGUGCUUUAAGCGUGUUGUGAAAUGUAGGCGCCCAACGUUUGCACUGCAGCGCGAACUGGAGCACUUGAGUACGCAGGAAGUAGGCGGAAUUCGUCGUGUAGCGGUGAAAUGCUUAGAUAUGACGAAGAACUCCGAUUGGGAAGCCAGCUUACUGUAGCGCCACUGACGCUGAUGCUCGAAAGCGUGGGUAUCGAACAGGAUUAGAUACCCUGGUAGUCCACGCGGUAAACGAUGGAUGCUCGCUGGUAUGCCUUUUUGGUAUGUGGCCAAGGGAAACCAUUAAGCAUCCCACCUGGGGAGUACGCCGGCAACGGUGAAACUCAAAGGAAUUGACGGGGGCCCGCACAAGCGGAGGAACAUGUGGUUUAAUUCGAUGAUACGCGAGGAACCUUACCCGGGCUUGAAAGUUAGUGACCGUCCUGGAAACAGGACUUUCCGCAAGGACACGAAACUAGGUGCUGCAUGGUUGUCGUCAGCUCGUGCCGUGAGGUGUCGGCUCAAGUGCCAUAACGAGCGCAACCCUUGUCAUCAGUUGCCAUCAUUAAGUUGGGGACUCUGGUGAGACUGCCGCCGCAAGGUGAGAGGAAGGGGGGGAUGACGUCAAAUCAGCACGGCCCUUACGUCCGGGGCGACACACGUGUUACAAUGGAUGGUACAGAGGGCAGCGAAGGGGCGACCCGGAGCGAAUCUCAGAAAGCCAUUCCCAGUUCGGAUCGGAGUCUGCAACCCGACUCCGUGAAGCUGGAUUCGCUAGUAAUCGCGCAUCAGCCAUGGCGCGGUGAAUAAAAGGCCGGGCCUUGCACACACCGCCCGUCAA